rnacentral:rRNA from 1 species
ACUCAAAGGAAUAGACGGGGGCCCGCACAAGCAGCGGAGCGUGUGGUUUAAUUCGAUGCAACGCGAAGAACCUUACCAGGGUUUGACAUGCUUGAAGUAGAAACUCGAAAGAGGGACGACCUGUAUCCAAUCAGGAGCUUGCACAGGUGCUGCAUGGCUGUCGUCAGCUCGUGCCGUGAGGUGUUAGGUUAAGUCCUGCAACGAGCGCAACCCUCGUCGCUAGUUAAUUUCUCUAGCGAGACUGCCCGUAUAACGUGGAGGAAGGUGGGGAUGACGUCAAGUCAGCAUGGCCCUUACAUCCUGGGCUACACACACGCUACAAUGGGUGAUACAAUAGGUUGCGAUAGAGUGAUCUGGAGCCAAUCCAAAAAAUCAUCCUCAGUUCGGAUUGUAGGCUGAAACUGCCUACAUGAAGUUGGAGUUGCUAGUAACCGCAGGUCAGCACACUGCGGUGAAUACGUUCUCGGGCCUUGUACACACCGCCCGU